rnacentral:lncRNA from 1 species
CUAAUCUGAUGUGAUUAAUCAAUGCCAAAUCUCUGAUGGCACAAAUCAAUUCCAAAUCUCUGAUGGCACUAACCAAUUCCAAAUCUCUGAUGGCACUAACCAAUUCCAAAUCUCUGAUGGCACUAAUCAAUUCCAAAUCCAUGAUGGCACUAAUCAAUGCCAAUUUUCUGAUGUGAUUAAUCAAUUUCAAUUCUCUGAUGUGAUUAAUCAAUGCCAAUUCUCUGAUGUCACUAAUCAAUUCCAAUUCUCCGAUGUGAUUAAUCAAUUCCAAUUCUCCGAUGUGAUUAAUCAAUGCCAAUUCUCUGAUUUGAUUAAUCAAUACGAAAUUUUUGAUGCGACUAUGCAAAGUGGGAAUUCAACACAAGUGCAGGUGGAGUCAAAGAAAAAACGAUUCCAGUGCUCGGAAUGCCCCAAAACUUUCGCCUUCAAAUCAGCUUUGAAGACGCAUAAUCUGACACACACUAAAGAAAAACCACACAAAUGUGAACAGUGCAACAUGGCUUUCCAGUACAAGUAUCAAGUGGCCAGUCAUUUCCGAACACACACUGAAGCAGUGCAUGUUUGCUAUACUUGUUUCCAAGCAUUCACUACUCUUGAGGAGUUAGUCAAACACAAUCAAAAUCAUAUACCAUUAAGAAAUGCGCCUUACGUUUGCACAGAAUGCGGAACAAAUUUUACAGACGAAUAUUCGUUUGAAACCCACAAAGUUAUUCAUGCCCUCUCAGAUGUACGUUUCACUGAAGACGAAGUUCUUCUUUAUGAAGAAAACAACAAAGCAUACAAAGACCUCAUGGAUCAUUUCAGUACACAUCUCUCUCCUUAGGCAGAGAUCGUUUUUGUUUUUUAAAAAUUUGCUUGGUUUUUGAUCUUUUAUUCAUACAAUAUGAUAUUUUUAAUGUUAUUCCUUUUUAUAAUCAUCUAUAUUUUAAACUAAACUUUGUUAAUUUUUAUAAAUUUUUAUUAAGCGAAAAUUCAAAUAUAUUUCGUGAACUUUUAUAAACGUUUUAAUACCGUUUACUUGCACAUGAUUUUCUGCAACGUUUUCACACCAACAACGGGUCGUUCGUUUGAAGAGAAUUGGCUUUUUCUUCUAGCGUUGUAACUGCGUAUUUUAGUUAAUAAUUUCCACAAGCAACUAUAUAAAACCAGCGUGUAUUGUGAAGAUUAAGCAUGAUUUUUAUCACUUUCCAUUUGUUAUUCCUGCAACGUUAUACAUGUAAAUGAUUCCGCUAAGACGAUACCCCCGAAAGGAAUCAAGAAAUACUACGCCUGAAAAGCCAUAUGAUAAGAAAUUAAAUCAUCCUACUGAGCAGCAGAACACUGAAGCAUUGUUGUAGACGACUUUCCAGCUACGUUGUAGGUACUACGCCAUUUUUUUUGUGCUCUUGAUUUUAUAUUAUAACAGAUAAAUUUGGGAGAUGCAGUUUUUCGCUCGUCAAGUCUCUAUCACAUCAGCAGACUCGGAAGUAGUCUCCAUACGAAGAAAGGAAGACCCCAGUUGUUGUGAGAAAUACAUUAGUCUUUUUUGCAAGAGAAUUUCAUUUGUUUUAGAGGAUAUUUUGCUUUUGAGACUUUAAAGAAUGUAAUAGAAUUAAGAAGUUCGUUAAUACAGGAUCUACUGAGCACUUACGCCGAAUUUUCAAAGACAUUAUGCAAUAUCUUCUGUAAUAUCGGUCUUUCCGGUUGGCACGAAAUGAUUGACCGCCUUUAUAACGAAAACAUCCUUUCUUGUAAAUAUAAAUUUUAACGUGAUGCCUGCAUUAAUUCAAUUGUAACACUAUUCUUCACUCUACCAGUAUUUGUAAGAAAGAAGUCAAAGUUCUACACUUGUCAUUGUUUAGACACGUGUCUUGCAACGACAUUAUCGAGUAAGCAGUUAAUUGAUGGAUCAUUCGCUAACAUUUCACUUCCUCCAAAUUAAAAGUAACAAGAAUGCAGAACUUUGCCAUGAGAAUUUAUGCCGAGGAAGUAGUCAAAUGGCAUCACUUGCAAUUACAGAACGAAAUCAAUGGCCAAGAGACGUCUUGUCAAGUAUUUUUCAGAGAAGAGAAUAUAUAGGAGAAACCUGUUCGUGAGUGACUGUUUGCAUUAAUAAAUCAGGUGGAGAAGGUAGACUGCAUAUGAAGAACACCUGCAGAAUUGCACUGAAGAACACUGCAGAUUGCAGAAAAAUAUUGCAUAUGAAGAACACUGUUGCAGAUUAGUGGCUUUCAAUCAGUGGCAACAACAGAACAAAGAGGAGUGAGUGCAUCAAACAAUAGCAGACAAUACCAGAAAACCAUCUUUAUGUGAAAAUACAUAUUUUAUCAACUUGUUAUAUAAUUGAUGACAUCUUUUAAUCGCGACAAUUUAAUUAGAACGUGUAAUUCUUCUGAUAUGGCAUGUAAAUUUAUAAUGUAUGUUUUUCAAAUUUAUUCUAUACCAUGUUCUUAUCUUGCAGUUGAAUAUCCUAUCU